CAAAUAUCGGCAAAUAUCAUUGCUGAAAAGAUAAAAAGUUUAAAACAGUUUACAAAUUUGUAAAAUGCUACAAAAUCUGGAGUUUACAAGUAAGAGUAAAACGAUUUGAUUAUCACUGAAUUCUUAAUAAAAUAAUUAAUAUAUUUUUUUUCUGUUAGUCCACACGCAAAAGUCUGGGUCUCUCUGUAUCGCUCAGGCUGCACUGCAGUGUCUAUUCACAGGCGCGAUCCCACUACUGAUCGACACGGGGGCUUUGACCUGCUCCGUCUCCGACCUGGGCCGGUUCACCCCUCCUUAGACGACCUGGUGGUCCCGAGCUCCCCCAGGAGCACCAUAUCGAUACCGAACGAUCCCACUACUGAUCGACACGGGGGCUUUGACCUGCUCCGUCUCCGACCUGGGCCGGUUCACCCCUCCUUAGACGACCUGGUGGUCCCGAGCUCCCCCAGGAGCACCAUAUCGAUACCGAACUUAGUGUGGACACCUGAUCAACAUAGUCCACUGCAGCCCAGAACCCCUGAACUCAAGCGAUCCGCCAGCCUCAGUCUCCCAGCAGCUUGGAUUACAGGCGCGCGCCACUGCACCCGACGAGAGCUGCAGCAUCAGCGCUGAUACUCAAUCUAGAGAUCACUGACACCUCGAGUACAGCACAGCAGAACAGUAGACUGACAUUAGCCGUGGAGUAGAGAACUAAUUAGAGUUUUAACAUCUUCAAAAAAAUCUGCAAAAAUGUAGUUUUUCACUUUUAAUGUAUACAAUUCAGUUGUUAUUUUCCUUUAUUUCAACACAUCUGACUAUCAUUUAAUUCAUCUCAGUUGUUAAAUCAUGAUUAAUUUGUGGUAAUUUUGGAUUUUUAGGGGUUUAUUACCUGUUUUAUUUAUCAUAUGCAUGUGUAUUUAUCACAUGUACAAACAGCUUGUUAAUUUUAUUGUGGAAAACUUUGCUGUUUAUAUUCCUAGAAGAAAUAAAAGAAUUAAGGGACUGAGGUGUCAGGUGUGGCACUGGCUGCAGUCCUGACAGGAACAUCUGGAGCACCUGUGACUGAAACUAAUGUAUGUUCUGGUGAUACAACAUCAGGAAAUUAUGAAGCAGCUCUGACAGAAAACUCUCUUUCAACUGGAAGCUCCAGGACUGGGCUGUGAAACCCACCGGGGGCCGCAACAUACAUCCAAGAGGACUGCAGGAUGAUUAUUCAAUUGUAUAUAUAUUAUUAUUAACAAUGAACACAAACAUUAAUAAAUUAGAAUUACUUAAUUACAAUAAGUUGUUGUUGUUUAUUUCCCCACAGGAAUUAUUGUUUAUUUUUGUUUAACAGUUUAUGUACAUAAAUAUAAAGAAUAAAACAAGCAGUUUUCUCCUAAUUACAGCAGAAAUACAGGAGGAAAUAUUGUACCUUAUAUAUGGAAACCCUUGAAAAUUGCUGUGGACAAUCAAGACAGACUGAUUGACAAC
rnacentral:lncRNA from 1 species